UGCUCGAGUGGCGAACGGGUGAGUAACACGUGUGUGAUCUGCCCUGCACUUCGGGAUAAGCUUGGGAAACUUGGUCUAAUACCGGAUAGGACCAUCGUUUAGUGCCGGUGGUGGAAAGUUUUUUCGGUGUGGGAUGAGCUCGCGGCCUAUCAGCUUGUUGGUGGGGUAAUGGCCUACCAAGGCGUCGACGGGUAGCCGGCCUGAGAGGGUGUACGGCCACAUUGGGACUGGGAUACGGCCCAG
rnacentral:rRNA from 1 species